rnacentral:rRNA from 1 species
GACGAACGCUGGCGGCGUGCUUAACACAUGCAAGUCGAACGAAGAGCGAUGGAAGCUUGCUUCUAUCAAUCUUAGUGGCGAACGGGUGAGUAACGCGUAAUCAACCUGCCCUUCAGAGGGGGACAACAGUUGGAAACGACUGCUAAUACCGCAUACGAUCUAAUCUCGGCAUCGAGGAUAGAUGAAAGGUGGCCUCUACAUGUAAGCUAUCACUGAAGGAGGGGAUUGCGUCUGAUUAGCUAGUUGGAGGGGUAACGGCCCACCAAGGCGAUGAUUAGUAGCCGGUCUGAGAGGAUGAACGGCCACCUUGGGACUGAGACACGGCCCAGACUCCUACGGGAGGCAGCAGUGGGGAAUCUUCCGCAAUGGACGAAAGUCUGACGGAGCAACGCCGCGUGAGUGAUGACGGCCUUCGGGUUGUAAAGCUCUGUUAAUCGGGACGAAAGGCCUUCUUGCGAAUAGUGAGAAGGAUUGACGGUACCGGAAUAGAAAGCCACGGCUAACUACGUG